rnacentral:lncRNA from 1 species
GAGAGAGGAGGAGGAGGAGGAGGAGGAUGGAGACAGCCCCAGCUGGCGUCUCCCGACCGUCCCCAACAGAGCUCGGCUCUGCCUCCCGAGGCUGCUCCAGCUCCAGCGCAGCAGGAGGAGGAGGAGAAGCAGGUUCUCCCCAAGAACUCGUUCCGUGAAUAAUUUUGCCGGCUCCCGUGGAUGACUGGGCACGAAUGCAGAUCAGCUUUCUCAUCCCGAAAGAAAAGACAUUCCUGAUCGGCACCGAGACAAAGCUGAGCAUCUCCUCCCACCACCCAGAGCCAGACAGGAGUGAAAUACGGAGCGACAGCAUCAGGAGCAGCACCGACAUCCCGGCGCUGAGCUGCUGGCAUCCCUGGGGAGCAGCGGCACUGCCGGCAUUCCCAGGAGAUGCAGGAGCUUCCCCCAGCCCUGCGGGGUGAGAGUCCAAGGGAAAGAGCCAAAAAAUGCAGGGCUGCAAAGCCCAGCUAGGCAGGAAUGAGCAUUUCUACAUGUAGGGGUGUCUGACUUUGAGCAAAGCCUCAAAGGUUCGUGGAAGCACCUGCAGAUGUCCGAGUCUGUUGUCCAAAGCACUUGGAGCUGAUCCAUGGGCUCUGCUGACCCCUUAUCCCACCCAGCAGCACUGUGCAGAGUAACCUCAAGGACCUCCAAGGUUCUAACCCACAGCACAGCACAAAAUCCUAUCUGGUUUUCCUCCUCCUCCUCCUCCUCCUCCCCACACAUCCAGCCACAAACACUCCAGGUGCAGACUCUCAGGGGGCAGCUCAGAGGGCAACCAGAGACCAGCAAAGCACAACUUGAUGGGGAGAAAUUUGCCUGGAAGAAUUGGAUUUGUCUAGUCUGGAAAUCAGAAGAGAUUGGGUAGCAGUCUUCAAUUAUGUAAAGGGUUGCUGCAAAGGGUGUGAGAAUAAAUUGUUCUGCAUCCCCACAGGGAUUCUUUUCCUCCACAGGGUAUAGGACGAGGCUGUAAAUUGUAGAUUAGACUAGAAAACAACCACCUCAAUGGCAAGGAUUAUUUAGGCUGUGGGACAGACAACAGGGAAGCUGCUGGGAUUUGAGAGCAGGCGAGACAAACACCAGUGAGGUGGGCUGGAGGAAGCAGCUUGAGACUGGGAAUGGACCCCCACGCAAGGUCUGCUCUUCCCCAGGCAUUUUAGCACUCAGUGCCUACCUCGAGCUGACUUUUCACUGCUUUCUGCCAAGCAGGAGUGGACCAACAGCUUUUUUGAGGGUGAUGCCUCCACCUUCUGCAGUGCCUGUGCUCUUUGUCCUGUGCUUAGGACCCACAGCACAUCAGGGAACACCACUCAGGGACCACCUUCCCUCCCAGGGAAGCUGCAGCAGGAUGUCAUCACCCACCAUCUACAUCCCAGCAGGAAUUAGUGGUGGGGUGCAGCUCCCCACCCUCUCUGGGGCCAUCAGUACCUGUAAAGUUGACCGGUCUGGAUCAGAAACUCCAGCUCCUUAUGCCCCUUUUGAGUGCCACACUGGUGCCUUUCGAGCUGAUCUGUGUGGUUUUUCUACCAAAUCAGCCUGUGGGGAUUUUAAACAGAGCUAAAGAGACAAGAGAUGAAGCCCAGGGCCAGCUGAAAGCAUCUUUAAAAACAAAGAAGCCCAGUGUACUCAGCAAAACCUCCAGCCCAGACGCCAAAUUGUCUGCUGGACCCAUAGGUGGUGAUAGCAGGAGAGAUCCAGAUAUUCACAGAUUUCCAUCAGGAACAAGUCCUGCUGCCCUGGGGAGAGGAAGUUGCAAUUGCCACAGGGAAGAGAAAUUGGGCAAGGGGUGCUGUGUGCCUUCCACAGCUGGUAAAUACUCAGAAUUCUACCCUGGGGCAAAAAAAGCACUUUCCAGUAAAUUCCACAUGCUCACACUAAGGUUUGUCCCCAGGGAGCUGCCUGUGCCAAACUACAGAUUUCUGUUUAACAACAGGAGAGCACAUGGAACUUGAAACAUCUUUAAUAAUAUUUACUCUCUCGUAAUAAUAUCAAUGCUAACAAGGUCAGAGAAGAAAAAGAAUCAUCCUACAUCUCAGGAUGUUUAUGUAAAGUGAGACUAAACUUUCCUGAAGUAGGAAUUUUUCAAAAACCAGACAAUCCUCCCUGGAAAAUAAAAAAAAAAAAAAAAAAAA